UACGUAGGGGGCAAGCGUUGUCCGGAUUUAUUGGGCGUAAAGAGCGUGUAGGCGGCCAGGUAGGUCUGCUGUGAAAACUCGAGGCUCAACCUCGAGAUGUCGGCGGAAACCAUCAGACUAGAGUCCGGAAGAGGAGAGCGGAAUUCCUGGUGUAGCGGUGAAAUGCGCAGAUAUCAGGAAGAACACCCGUGGCUAAGGCGGCUCUCUAGUACGGUACUGACGCUGAGACGCGAAAGCGUGGGGAGCGAACAGG
rnacentral:rRNA from 1 species